GUGAGGUGCAAACGUUACCCGGAAUCAUUGGGCGUAAAGCGUCCGCAGGCGGUUAAACAAGUAAGAUGUUAAAUCUUGAGGCUCAACUUCAAGUGUGUAUCUUAAACUGUUUAACUAGAGUAUUGGAGAGGUGAGUGGAAUUCUGUAUGUAGGGGUAAAAUCCGUAGAUAUACAGAGGAACACCAAAAGCGAAGGCAGCUCACUGGCCAAUUACUGACGCUCAGGGACGAAAGCGUGGGGAGCAAACGGGAUUAGAUACCCCGGUGGUCCACGCCGUAAACGAUGAUCACUCGAUGUUGGGAGUUCGACCCCUCUCAGUGUCCCAAGCUAACGCGAUAAGUGAUCCGCCUGGGGAGUACGGUCGCAAGAUUA
rnacentral:rRNA from 1 species